rnacentral:rRNA from 1 species
AGAGUUUGAUCAUGGCUCAGAUUGAACGCUGGCGGCAGGCCUAACACAUGCAAGUCGAACGGUAACAGGAAACAGCUUGCUGUUUCGCUGACGAGUGGCGGACGGGUGAGUAAUGUCUGGGAAACUGCCUGAUGGAGGGGGAUAACUACUGGAAACGGUAGCUAAUACCGCAUAACGUCGCAAGACCAAAGAGGGGGACCUUCGGGCCUCUUGCCAUCGGAUGUGCCCAGAUGGGAUUAGCUAGUAGGUGGGGUAACGGCUCACCUAGGCGACGAUCCCUAGCUGGUCUGAGAGGAUGACCAGCCACACUGGAACUGAGACACGGUCCAGACUCCUACGGGAGGCAGCAGUGGGGAAUAUUGCACAAUGGGCGCAAGCCUGAUGCAGCGACGCCGCGUGAGGGAUGGAGGCCUUCGGGUUGUAAACCUCUUUUAUCGGGGAGCAAGCGAGAGUGAGUUUACCCGUUGAAUAAGCACCGGCUAACUACGUGCCAGCAGCCGCGGUAAUACGUAGGGUGCAAGCGUUAUCCGGAAUUAUUGGGCGUAAAGGGCUCGUAGGCGGUUCGUCGCGUCCGGUGUGAAAGUCCAUCGCUUAACGGUGGAUCCGCGCCGGGUACGGGCGGGCUUGAGUGCGGUAGGGGAGACUGGAAUUCCCGGUGUAACGGUGGAAUGUGUAGAUAUCGGGAAGAACACCAAUGGCGAAGGCAGGUCUCUGGGCCGUUACUGACGCUGAGGAGCGAAAGCGUGGGGAGCGAACAGGAUUAGAUACCCUGGUAGUCCACGCCGUAAACGGUGGAUGCUGGAUGUGGGGCCCGUUCCACGGGUUCCGUGUCGGAGCUAACGCGUUAAGCAUCCCGCCUGGGGAGUACGGCCGCAAGGCUAAAACUCAAAGAAAUUGACGGGGGCCCGCACAAGCGGCGGAGCAUGCGGAUUAAUUCGAUGCAACGCGAAGAACCUUACCUGGGCUUGACAUGUUCCCGACGGUCGUAGAGAUGCGGCUUCCCUUCGGGGCGGGUUCACAGGUGGUGCAUGGUCGUCGUCAGCUCGUGUCGUGAGAUGUUGGGUUAAGUCCCGCAACGAGCGCAACCCUCGCCCCGUGUUGCCAGCGGAUUGUGCCGGGAACUCACGGGGGACCGCCGGGGUUAACUCGGAGGAAGGUGGGGAUGACGUCAGAUCAUCAUGCCCCUUACGUCCAGGGCUUCACGCAUGCUACAAUGGCCGGUACAACGGGAUGCGACGCGGCGACGCGGAGCGGAUCCCUGAAAACCGGUCUCAGUUCGGAUCGCAGUCUGCAACUCGACUGCGUGAAGGCGGAGUCGCUAGUAAUCGCGAAUCAGCAACGUCGCGGUGAAUGCGUUCCCGGGCCUUGUACACACCGCCCGUCAAGUCAUGAAAGUGGGCAGCACCCGAAGCCGGUGGCCUAACCCCUUGUGGGAUGGAGCCGUCUAAGGUGAGGCUCGUGAUUGGGACUAAGUCGUAACAAGGUAGCCGUACCGGAAGGUGCGGCUG